GAUGAACGCUGGCGGCGUGCUUAACACAUGCAAGUCGAACGGAAAGGCUCCUGCUUGCCGGGGUACUCGAGUGGCGAACGGGUGAGUAACACGUGGGUGAUCUGCCCUGCACUUCGGGAUAAGCCUGGGAAACUGGGUCUAAUACCGGAUAGGACGUUGGUUUGGAUGCCAUUGUGUAAAGAUUUUCGGUGUGGGAUGAGCUCGUGGCCUAUCAGCUUGUUGGUGGGGUAGUGGCCUACCAAGGCGUCGACGGGUAGCCGGCCGGAGAGGGUGUACGGCCACAUUGGGACUGAGAUACGGACCAGACGCCUACGGGAGGCAGCAGGGGGGAAUAUUGCACAAUGGGCGCAAGCCUGAUGCAGCGACGCCGCGUGCGGGAUGACGGCCUUCGGGUUGUAAACUCCUUUCGCUAGAGACGAAGCGGAAGUGACGGUACCUGGAGAAGAAGCACCGGCUAACUACGUG
rnacentral:rRNA from 1 species